rnacentral:lncRNA from 1 species
UUAAAUGUACAUGGGCUGGGGAGAACCACACGAGCGUGUGACACGACCAUGUGGCCCAACACGGGACCUUACACGACCGUGUCACCCUUAAAAACCCUAGCUCACUUUUUUUUAUCUUUAUUUUGUCUUCUUCCCCAACUUCCCUAUCAACCCUAGCCACCGCCGUUCCCUUACCCUUCCCCCUCACCUUUCCCUCACCUAAGUCGCCCCUUCCACUCAACCACGCCCUCUCUCUCUUCUCCCUUUCUUUCACCACUGUUAUCCCUUCCCUCGUCAAGCCUUCUCCGUUUCUCUUCCUCUAUUGACAGCCCACGCCCUCUAACCACUGACCACGCACAACCCGACCUUUUUCCUUUCCCCAAUAGGCCCCUUCCCUUUCUUCCCUUCUCCUUUCCUCCCCCUCAAAUCGCAAACUACCCCCGCGUUACAACCUCCACCCUUCCCCAGCCUCAUCACACACCACCACGCUUGUCGACUGCUGCGUCUUCGUACCCACUACUGCCCCACCGUCGGUUCCCCCUUUUGCCCUUCCCUUUUAUUUAUUUAUUUAUCUUUUAUUAUUUUGUUUAUUUGUUUUUAUUUUAUUUUAUUUUGGUAGUUAUCAUUUUUUAUUAUUAUACUUAUCAUUUUUUGGCAUUAAGCAGUAGUAUGCAUUUAUUUAUUUUAGUUGAUUUUAUUUUUGAUUUUACCAUUGUUUUUGUGUUAUGUUUCCUUUUCUUUUUUCUUAUGUCAUUAUUCUUUUGCGUUCCACUAUUCUUGCUAUUCUUGAUUAUUCAUUUUUAUUAUUUUUCAUUAUUAGUUUCAUUAAUUCUUGCUAUGUUUUUGUUUGAUAUUAGCAUUCUGCUUACUAGUUUUAUUAUGUUCAAAGUUAAUUUCUUUAUUAGUCCAAUUGU